GAUGAAGAACGUAGCGAAAUGCGAUAAGUAAUGCGAAUUGCAGAAUUUCCGUGAGUCAUCGAAUCUUUGAACGCACAUUGCGCCCGCCAGUAUUCUGGCGGGCAUGCCUGUUCGAGCGUCAUUUCAACCCUCAAGCCCUCGGGUUUGGUGUUGGGGAUCGGCGAGCCUUUCUGGCAAGCCGGCCCCGAAAUCUAGUGGCGGUCUCGCUGCAGCCUCCAUUGCGUAGUAGUAAAACCCUCGCAACUGGAACGCGGCGCGGCCAAGCCGUUAAACCCCCAACUUCUGAAUGUUGACCUCGGAUCAGGUAGGAAUACCCGCUGAACUUAAGCAUAUCAAUAAGCGGAGGA
rnacentral:misc_RNA from 1 species